UGGGGAGUAGCCAAGCGGUAAGGCAGGCGCCUUUGAAGCGCCCAUUCGCAGGUUCGAUCCCUGCCUCCCCAG
rnacentral:tRNA from 1 species